rnacentral:tRNA from 1 species
GAGGGUAUAGCUCAAGUGGUAGAGUGCAUGUUCAGCACACAAGAGGUCCUGGGUUCAAUCCCCAGUACUUCCU